UGGGGAAUUUUGGACAAUGGGCGAAAGCCUGAUCCAGCAAUGCCGCGUGUGUGAAGAAGGCCUUCGGGUUGUAAAGCACUUUUGUCCGGAAAGAAAUCCUUGGCUCUAAUACAGUCGGGGGAUGACGGUACCGGAAGAAUAAGCACCGGCUAACUACGUGCCAGCAGCCGCGGUAAUACGUAGGGUGCAAGCGUUAAUCGGAAUUACUGGGCGUAAAGCGUGCGCAGGCGGUUUGCUAAGACCGAUGUGAAAUCCCCGGGCUCAACCUGGGAACUGCAUUGGUGACUGGCAGGCUAGAGUAUGGCAGAGGGGGGUAGAAUUCCACGUGUAGCAGUGAAAUGCGUCGAGAUGUGGAGGAAUACCGAUGGCGAAGGCAGCCCCCUGGGCCAAUACUGACGCUCAUGCACGAAAGCGUGGGGAGCAAACAGGAUUAGAUACCCUGGUAGUCCACGCCCUAAACGAUGUCAACUAGUUGUUGGGGACUUCAUUUCCUUAGUAACGUAGCUAACGCGUGAAGUUGACCGCCUGGGGAGUACGGUCGCAAGAUUAAAAC
rnacentral:rRNA from 1 species